AUUAAUUCGAUGCAACGCGUAGAACCUUACCUGGGUUUGACAUGGAUCGGGAGUGCUCAGAGAUGGGUGUGCCUCUUUUGGGGUCGGUUCACAGGUGGUGCAUGGCUGUCGUCAGCUCGUGUCGUGAGAUGUUGGGUUAAGUCCCGCAACGAGCGCAACCCUUGUUCACUGUUGCCAGCACGUUAUGGUGGGGACUCAGUGGAGACCGCCGGGGUCAACUCGGAGGAAGGUGGGGAUGACGUCAAGUCAUUAUGCCCCUUAUGUCCAGGGCUUCACGCAUGCUACAAUGGCUGGUACAGAGAGUGGCGAGCCUGUGAGGGUGAGCGAAUCUCGGAAAGCCGGUCUCAGUUCGGAUUGGGGUCUGCAACUCGACCUCAUGAAGUUGGAGUCGCUAGUAAUCGCAGAUCAGCAACGCUG
rnacentral:rRNA from 1 species